ACGACGCUGGCGGCGUGCCUAAUACAUGCAAGUCGAGCGAGCGGAAUCAACAGAUUUACUUCGGUAAUGACGUUGGGAAAGCGAGCGGCGGAUGGGUGAGUAACACGUGGGGAACCUGCCCCUAAGUCUGGGAUACCAAUUGGAAACGAUUGCUAAUGCCCGGAUGAUAUAUAAAACGAUACGUUGUUUUAUAUUAAAAAGGAGCCUUUAAAGCUUCACUUUGAGAUGAGCCCGCGGCGUAUUAGCUAGUUGGUGAGGUAAUGGCCCACCAAGGCAACGAUGCGUAGCCGGCCUGAGAGGGUGAUCGGCCACAUUGGGACUGAGACACGGCCCAAACUCCUACGGGAGACAGCAGUUAGGAAUAUUCGUCAAUGGGGGAAACCCUGAACGAGCAAUGCCGCGUGAGUGAUGACGGUCCUUUGGAUUGUAAAACUCUGUUGUUAGGGAAGAACGACCUGUAUAGGAAAUGAUACAGGAGUGACGGUAUCUUUCAAGAAAGCUCCGGCUAACUACGUG
rnacentral:rRNA from 1 species